GGCAUCUUGUUGAAAUGCAGAUUUUGAUUCAGUAGGUGUGGGUAAGACUGAGUUUCUGCAUUUUUGACAAGUUC
rnacentral:miRNA from 1 species